GAGUUUGAUCCUGGCUCAGAAUGAACGCUGGCGGCGUGCUUAACACAUGCAAGUCGAACGAUGAAGCCUAGCUUGCUAGGUGGAUUAGUGGCGCACGGGUGAGUAAUAUAUAGAUAACGUACCUUUUAGUCUGGGAUAGCCAUUGGAAACGAUGAUUAAUACUAGAUACUCCUUCUAACUCUAAUGUUAGUCGGGAAAGUUUUUUCGCUAAGAGAUCGGUCUAUAUCCUAUCAGUUAGUUGGUGAGGUAAUGGCUCACCAAGGCAAUGACAGGUAGCGGGUUUGAGAGGAUGAUCCGCCACACUGGUACUGAGACACGGACCAGACUCCUACGGGAGGCAGCAGUGAGGAAUAUUGCACAAUGGGGGAAACCCUGAUGCAGCAACGCCGCGUGGAGGAUGACGCAUUUCGGUGUGUAAACUCCUUUUAUAUGUCAAGAAAAUGACGGUAGCAUAUGAAUAAGCACCGGCUAACUCCGUGCCAGCAGCCGCGGUAC
rnacentral:rRNA from 1 species